UGGGGAAUAUUGGACAAUGGGGGGAACCCUGAUCCAGCCAUGCCGCGUGUGUGAAGAAGGCCUUAUGGUUGUAAAGCACUUUAAGCGAGGAGGAGGGUACUGGUAUUAAUACUACCAGCUACUGGACGUUACUCGCAGAAUAAGCACCGGCUAACUCUGUGCCAGCAGCCGCGGUAAUACAGAGGGUGCGAGCGUUAAUCGGAUUUACUGGGCGUAAAGCGUGCGUAGGCGGCUAAUUGAGUCGGAUGUGAAAUCCCCGAGCUUAACUUAGGAAUUGCAUUCGAUACUGGUCAGCUAGAGUAUGGGAGAGGAUGGUAGAAUUCCAGGUGUAGCGGUGAAAUGCGUAGAGAUCUGGAGGAAUACAGAUGGCGAAGGCAGCCAUCUGGCCUAAUACUGACGCUGAGGUACGAAAGCAUGGGGAGCAAACAGG
rnacentral:rRNA from 1 species